AUUCUCUCUAAUCUCAACACUAUGACUCAUCAAUUUCUUCUUCUUUUUCUCCUAUGGAAUAAGUUGGUUCCUUUAUCCCCUUUUUCUUCAGCAGAAUAGCUCUAGACUUCUGAUGAUAUAGCUGAAAUAAAGAAAUCCUUCUUCUUAGAAUGCCACAUUCUGUUGUCUACCAAGGCUUAGAUGAUUGCAGGUCAAGUUCCCUCAACUUAGCAACUAGGCCUAUGUGAUGAUAGAUAUAGACAGCUGGAAGUUCCCAAAGACAAUAGGAAACAUUAGAGUAAAUUGGGAGAGUUAACAAGUACGAAGGUGAGCUUGGGCUUUUUUUGUGUGUGGGAAGAACACUUCAGUGCUCUGAGAGACACUACUUGAGUUUCUGGUAUUUUCUCUAGUAGUUCACGAAGGGGUGAGAUGGUAUUCUUCAAGGUUUAUGUGAGAGGAGUGUAUCAGGUAGUAUGGGAUGGAGUUAGGUUAAGUCAAAGAGUAUUUAAACUCUUUCUUGUAUUGUAGUUUUGUUCUUACAUGGUGAGAAAUUAAUAUUUUUCCAUGAGCAUAAGCAGUUAGGUGUUGAUUUACGUAUAUUUGGUGUGCACUUAUUUUUCUGGAUUUUAUACUUGUACAUGCUUGUUGAUUUCAUGGUUUCCUGGAUCCUGCUGGGUUAUUGUUCUGAACACAUGACUGCCCAAAUGGACUGACUAGCUGUCUUUGAACAGAAUCUUACUUCAUCUCUUCAAAUGGUAAUAAUAAUAAUAAUAAUAA
rnacentral:misc_RNA from 1 species